GAACGCUGGCGGCAGGCCUAACACAUGCAAGUCGAGCGGUAGAGAGAAGCUUGCUUCUCUUGAGAGCGGCGGACGGGUGAGUAAUGCCUAGGAAUCUGCCUGGUAGUGGGGGAUAACGUUCGGAAACGGACGCUAAUACCGCAUACGUCCUACGGGAGAAAGCAGGGGACCUUCGGGCCUUGCGCUAUCAGAUGAGCCUAGGUCGGAUUAGCUAGUUGGUGGGGUAAUGGCUCACCAAGGCGACGAUCCGUAACUGGUCUGAGAGGAUGAUCAGUCACACUGGAACUGAGACACGGUCCAGACUCCUACGGGAGGCAGCAGUGGGGAAUAUUGGACAAUGGGCGAAAGCCUGAUCCAGCCAUGCCGCGUGUGUGAAGAAGGUCUUCGGAUUGUAAAGCACUUUAAGUUGGGAGGAAGGGUUGUAGAUUAAUACUCUGCAAUUUUGACGUUACCGACAGAAUAAGCACCGGCUAACUCUGUGCCAGCAGCCGCGGUAAUACAGAGGGUGCAAGCGUUAAUCGGAAUUACUGGGCGUAAAGCGCGCGUAGGUGGUUAGUUAAGUUGGAUGUGAAAUCCCCGGGCUCAACCUGGGAACUGCAUUCAAAACUGACUGACUAGAGUAUGGUAGAGGGUGGUGGAAUUUCCUGUGUAGCGGUGAAAUGCGUAGAUAUAGGAAGGAACACCAGUGGCGAAGGCGACCACCUGGACUGAUACUGACACUGAGGUGCGAAAGCGUGGGGAGCAAAC
rnacentral:rRNA from 1 species